rnacentral:rRNA from 1 species
UAGGGAAUCUUCCACAAUGGACGAAAGUCUGAUGGAGCAACGCCGCGUGAGUGAAGAAGGUUUUCGGAUCGUAAAGCUCUGUUGUUGGUGAAGAAGGAUAGAGGCAGUAACUGGUCUUUAUUUGACGGUAAUCAACCAGAAAGUCACGGCUAACUACGUGCCAGCAGCCGCGGUAAUACGUAGGUGGCAAGCGUUGUCCGGAUUUAUUGGGCGUAAAGCGAGCGCAGGCGGAAUGAUAAGUCUGAUGUGAAAGCCCACGGCUCAACCGUGGAACUGCAUCGGAAACUGUCAUUCUUGAGUGCAGAAGAGGAGAGUGGAACUCCAUGUGUAGCGGUGGAAUGCGUAGAUAUAUGGAAGAACACCAGUGGCGAAGGCGGCUCUCUGGUCUGCAACUGACGCUGAGGCUCGAAAGCAUGGGUAGCGAACAGGAUUAGAUACCCUGGUAGUCCAUGCCGUAAACGAUGAGCGCUAGGUGUUGGGGACUUUCCGGUCCUCAGUGCCGCAGCAAAUC